rnacentral:rRNA from 1 species
AACGAACGCUGGCGGCAUGCCUAACACAUGCAAGUCGAACGAGACCUUCGGGUCUAGUGGCGCACGGGUGCGUAAAGCGUCGGAACCUGCCCUUAGGUUCGGAAUAACUCCCCGAAAGGGGUGCUAAUACCGGGUAAUGUCUUCGGACCAAAGAUUUAUCGCCUUUGGAUGGGCCCGCGUUGGAUUAGCUAGUUGGUAGGGUAAAAGCCUACCAAGGCGACGAUCCAUAGCUGGGCUGAGAGGAUGAUCAGCCACACUGGGACUGAGACACGGCCCAGACUCCUACGGGAGGCAGCAGUGGGGAAUAUUGGACAAUGGGCGAAAGCCUGAUCCAGCAAUGCCGCGUGAGUGAUGAAGGCCUUAGGGUUGUAAAGCUCUUUUACCCGGGAUGAUAAUGACAGUACCGGGAGAAUAAGCUCCGGCUAACUCCGUG